rnacentral:rRNA from 1 species
AACGCGAAGAACCUUACCUGGGCUAGAAUGCAGAUAGACUGCCGGUGAAAGCUGGUUUUGUAGCAAUACACUGUCUGUAAGGUGCUGCAUGGCUGUCGUCAGCUCGUGCCGUGAGGUGUUGGGUUAAGUCCCGCAACGAGCGCAACCCCCAUCACUAGUUGCCAUCAGGUAAAGCUGGGAACUCUAGUGAAACUGCCGUCGUAAGACGCGAGGAAGGAGGGGAUGAUGUCAAGUCAUCAUGGCCUUUAUGCCCAGGGCUACACACGUGCUACAAUGGGAGAGACAAAGGGCAGCAACAUAGCGAUAUGAAGCUAAUCCCAAAAACUCUUUCUCAGUUCAGAUUGCAGUCUGCAACUCGACUGCAUGAAGCUGGAAUCGCUAGUAAUCGUAUAUCAGCAAUGAUACGGUGAAUACGUUCCCGGGCCUUGUA